AACGAACGCUGGCGGCAUGCCUAACACAUGCAAGGCGAACGAGACCUUCGGGUCUAGUGGCGCACUGGUGCGUAACGCGUGGGAACCUGCCCUUAGGUUCGGAAUAACUCCCCGAUAGGGGUGCUAAUACCGGAGAAUGUCUUCGGACCAAAGAUUUAGCGCUGUUGGAUGGGCCUGCGUUCGAUAAGCUAGGUGGUAGUGUAAAAGCCUACCAAGGGGACGAUCGAUAGCUGGUCUGAGAGGAUGAUAAGACACACUGGGACUGAGACACGGCGCAGACGGCAAGACGACAGCGCAGUAGGAAUUACACGAUAAUGGGAGAUAGCGUAUACCAGCACUGUCACGUGAGUAAUGAAGGAAUCAGCGUUGUCAAGCACUUUUCCCCGGGACGAUAAUGACAAUAACGGAAGAAUAAAAUCAGGCUAACCCCGUG
rnacentral:rRNA from 1 species